UUUGUUUGUGGUUAGGUUUGUAUUGGGUGCACCACUUUGAGCUACGUGAUCAUCACAAUCAUUUCUGUUUCAUGGCGGGACUUCCUAGAUGCACUCAUGUUUUUAUGCAAGGUAUUUGGUAUUCUUGCGCUUGGGUUAUUUGGCAGAAUCGGAACAAAAGCAUUUUCCAAAACGAGCCUUUCGAUUCUCACGGUUUACUAGACAAUGUUAAGCAUUCAUUUUUUUGGAUGAAAGCAAAUUUUA
rnacentral:lncRNA from 1 species